rnacentral:lncRNA from 1 species
UACAACUCCGAUCCAAACCUACUUGUCUCGACGUGCUCUACAUAAGGGUACAAUUGAAAUUCAAAAAUCCUUCCUGAUCAGAAAAGUCAACUUUUAAACUAUUAAAAUAUUACGGGGGUAAAAUUGUCUUUUACUUAAAUAAAUUAAUAAUUAAAAAUUUAUUUAGGAUCGGGUUGUUACGCACAAGAUGGAGAAGGAUGUUCUGGAUCUAAGAAUCAAAGUUGGUUGGAUGCGGUGAAGAUCUCGAUCUCCAAGCUCUUCAAUGAAGAUCUCCAUCUCAGGCACUCAACUCACACAUCAACCUCAACGAGGCAAUAAUUUGAAUGUUGGUGAUGUAUGUAUAUAUCUUUGGGUUGAUUGAUGACACAUACAUCACUAACAUCAAAUUGGUGGCUCGAUUGUGAUGAAGAAUGCAGUCCCAUUUAGUACAUAGCUCCCACUAGUAUGAUUUCAUAUCUCUUGGGAUUCCAAUAUUCAUUUUAUAUAUCCUUGACCAUAUUUAUUUUCCAGUUGAUUUACAUUUAUAACUCUUCUCCAGCUAUCAUCCAUUGUAAGCAAGCAAGGCAAGCACUUUGCAAAUAUGGCUUGUUUGUCUUCUUUAUUUCUCUGCCAUCUUAUUUACCUUUGUAUUAGGUUUAUGAUUAGUUUAUGAUUAAUUUAUGAUUGGAGGCUGAAAAAGUUAUGUGAAGGACAAAGCUCUUAUCAAAAUACAUGGUAGACCAUAUGACAGUUUGAGAAUGAGGUUUUCCAUUUUUUUACAAUCAUCAGUUCAAUAAAUCCAUGUUUAUUUGUUCAAAAUAUUUGAAUUAGCAAG